AAUCUAUCUAUUUAGUUGUAUUCAUUUUUUUAAUUCAAUUUCCUGUGAAUUAAUGCAGAAAAUGUGAUUCCAAAAAUGAAUACAACUAAAUAGAUAGAUUAAUGCAGCUUCGGACUUGACUGGGAACCAUUUUGAAAGCAAUAGCGUAAUAACUUGCUCCUAGUUAAGCUGUCUUGUCAGCUGGAACAACGGUCAAAGUUUAGCUCCAAAAAAGGAAAAUAAAAAUCAAUCCAUAGCUUUCCUACUGUUGGCAUCUUUGAGAAAAUUUUACAGAAUAAUGGUGUACAUUAACACAGAUGCAGCAAAAACAAACCAGCUCCAUCCUCCGUGACAAUUGAAUUCAGACUGAACUCCUAGCUUGAGCAGCACCCAACUCUCUUCAGAGCAGAAACAUCUUUACUAACGUCGAUUUUCUCUCCUUUCGACGGAACAGCUGAUGCAGCACCUUCAUCCCCCGUCUCCAUAGCCUUCUUGCUUACAAUUCGGUAGAUCUGAGUAAGUACUUCAGCAAAUGCAUUUUCCACAUUAGUAGCUUCCAGAGCAGAAGUUUCCAUGAAGUAGAGUGACUCUCUCUCUGCAAAGGACUUUCCAUCCUCAGUUGAGACAGCAACAAGGUGGCGAAGGUCUGAUUUAUUACCAAUGAGCAUCACCACAAUGUUUGGGUCUGUAUGGUCCCUCAAUUCCCUUAGCCACCU
rnacentral:misc_RNA from 1 species